rnacentral:lncRNA from 1 species
GACUACAUAGGUCACGGCCCAAGGGGUUUUCUUAAUCCAUUUGCACUUUUAAUUUCAUUUGGUAGAUGAAUAUUGAUCACAUGAAUGUGUAGGAAAAAGCAUGUUUGAUUAUUCCUUUGUUUUGAAUUAAUUUGCAUAGUAGGAUUAGUCGCUUUUUAGUUUCUCUAAUUUAUUUUUGCAUUUAAUUUAAAUUAACUUUGUUGGAUAUUUG